GAUUUGCCGGAAUUCCAAGUGAGAUUUCUAGCUGUUUAAUAUAUUUUAUUUGAUUAUUUAGCACAACAAUUACUUAGACUUGGUUAAUCAAGUGUAGAAUGUCACGCAUAUCCAUUCAGCUGUCUACUUUAGAGGAAUACAUGUGUUUCACUCAGCUCAGUUGGUGGUUUCUCUGUGAGCACGGCUAAUUCGGGAAGAUGAGUUAUUAUGACAUUUCUAAGGGAUGUGUGAUUCAACUCUGUCACUGCACUCAUCCUUGGAUCAAGCACAAAUUGUAAGCGUCAAUUCAGCUACUGUCAGGGUUACCUUAUUUUUAAAACAACAACAAAAAAACUUAAUUUUUUUAAAUUUUUAUAUUUUUUUUUAUUCUUCCUCAAGUUUUUUGUUGUUUUUUUUAAUUAUAAUAUAGUGAAAGUAUACAUUAAAAUAAAAAUUAUAAUCAUCACUUACUCCAUUUCUAUAAGAACUCUCUCUCAUUUAUUAAUUUAAAAACACUUUUCCCCAUAAAUAUACAUGAUCACAUUCUCCCAUAUAAAUACAAACACAUCCACUUUAUUCACACAUAAGGGUUUAUUCUUAUUUGUGCAGACACACACUGUCCAUUACACACACACAAAACCAGAGCAGGAUUAACCAUAAGACGGCCAUAUGUGGCCCAGGGUUUAAAACAGGGACCCUGGAACAUGCCCCAUUAAAUACCCCCAAGUGAAGAAUUAAGGGGGCCUACACAAAUAAACUGCCUGGGGAUCUUAUUCCUUCUCUGAUGCAAAAACACUAUUAGAGGAGGGUAAAAGAGAGAGUGUGGCAUUAGAUUGUAAGAAGGGAAAAUUUAGAAGAGUGAUAUGGACCCCAGGCCUGUACACAGGUAUCACAUUGGUGCGAGUGAGUCUAACUGACGAGACAGGUUGCUUUGCAGGUAGAACCAGGUAUUAGUGUGUCUGUGAUUGUCUGAGGUGGAAAUGAGAAUAUGUUUGUAAGACCUUAUUUCUUCAGUGCUGAGGAACCCAUGGGGACCAUCAGGGUUGCCAUCAUAAAUUUUGGAGCUACUUUCACAGAUCAAGGCCUGGACCCCCAGGGCACAUCCCAAGUUCUCCAACAAAAAUAAGUAAGAGGGGAUUGGGGGAGGGGCACAACAGCUUGUAUACUGAAGAGUGGG